rnacentral:lncRNA from 1 species
GCACCUGGGCUCCGCCCGCGGUCAGAUGCUGAGGCCAGUGUCGACGCGACCUUGGGUCCAAACCCGCUGCCGAGGGCAACGCGUCUAAAAAACUUAGCCGGUGCAGCUGCGCACUGAGUGACACCUCUCUCGGUGCUUAAGGCUGGUAGCAAAACUCUCAAACAUCCUGGGUCCCUCUUCCUGGCACGGAGGUCACAGAGGGCCAGGACGUCGCUCCGUCUCUCUCCACAUCUCUCGCUUCCUUCCCCCACCCUGUCCAGCUUCAUGAUUGUAUCCAAAAAACCUUGAAUGAAUGGAGUUCCCAAAUCAACCCAGAUUUGGUCAGGGUAAGUGAAAUGUGAAUGCAAAAAUCAUGCAGGUCAAAAAGGAAGUAAAGUAAACAGGAAGUUAAUUUCUUCAGUUUUGUGAGGGAAGUCAAAUAGGCAAUUAGCCAUAAACUCUCUGUGGUUGAUUUGCUGAGACGGCACUCUGAUCCAGUAGGCUUAUGCAUAAAACAGAAAAUCUAGACCGUAGGCAACUCUUUAACCAGACAAGAUACUAGGAUUCUCAUGCUUAAUUCUCACCAUGGUUUCCUCACUAUCAG